UGAACGCUAGCGGCAGGCCUAACACAUGCAAGUCGAGGGGUAACAGAGAAGCUUGCUUCUGCUGACGACCGGCGCACGGGUGCGUAACGCGUAUAGAAUCUACCUUAUACUGAGGGAUAGCCUUUGGAAACGAAGAUUAAUACCUCAUAGUAUGUUUACUUCGCAUGGAGUUUACAUUAAAGGUUACGGUAUAAGAUGACUAUGCGUUCUAUUAGCUAGAUGGUGUGGUAACGGCACACCAUGGCAACGAUAGAUAGGGGCCCUGAGAGGGGGAUCCCCCACACUGGUACUGAGACACGGACCAGACUCCUACGGGAGGCAGCAGUGAGGAAUAUUGGACAAUGGGCGCAAGCCUGAUCCAGCCAUGCCGCGUGCAGGAAGACUGCCCUAUGGGUUGUAAACUGCUUUUAUACGGGAAGAAACAUCACUACGUGUAGUGACUUGACGGUACCGUAAGAAUAAGGAUCGGCUAACUCCGUGCCAGCA
rnacentral:rRNA from 1 species